UGGGGAAUUUUGGACAAUGGGCGCAAGCCUGAUCCAGCCAUGCCGCGUGCAGGAUGAAGGCCUUCGGGUUGUAAACUGCUUUUGUACGGAACGAAAAGGUGCCUUCUAAUAAAGGGCGCUCAUGACGGUACCGUAAGAAUAAGCACCGGCUAACUACGUGCCAGCAGCCGCAGUAAUACGUAGGGUGCGAGCGUUAAUCGUAAUUACCGGGCGUAAAGCGUGCGCAGGCGGUUUUGUAAGACAGAGGUGAAAUCCCCGGGCUCAACCUGGGAACUGCCUUUGUGACUGCAAGGCUGGAGUGCGGCAGAGGGGGAUGGAAUUCCGCGUGUAGCAGUGAAAUGCGUAGAUAUGCGGAGGAACACCGAUGGCGAAGGCAAUCCCCUGAGCCUGCACUGACGCUCAUGCACGAAAGCGUGGGGAGCAAACA
rnacentral:rRNA from 1 species